ACACAUGCAAGUCGUACGGAAAAGCAAUUUUUAGUGGCGAACGGGUGAGUAACGCGUGGGAAUUUGCCUUUAGGAAGAGGAUAACAACUGGAAACAGUUGCUAAAACUCUAUAUGCCGUUUACGGUGAAAAAAGUAAUUUGCCUAAAGAGAAGCCCGCGUCUGAUUAGCUAGUUGGUGGGGUAAAGGCCUACCAAGGCGACGAUCAGUAGCUGGUCUGAGAGGACGAUCAGCCACACUGGAACUGAGACACGGUCCAGACUCCUACGGGAGGCAGCAGUGAGGAAUUUUCUGCAAUGGGCGAAAGCCUGACAGAGCAAUACCGCGUGAGGGAUGAAGGCCUACGGGUUGUAAACCUCUUUUCUCAAGGAGGAAGAUCUGACGUUACUUGAGGAAUAAGCAUCGGCUAACCCUGUGCCAGCAGCCGCGGUAAUACAGGGGAUGCAAGUGUUAUCCGGAAUUAUUGGGCGUAAAGCGUCUGCAGGUUGAUAUUUAAGUCUUUUGUUAAACCUCCGGGCUUAACCCGGAAUCUGCAAAGGAAACUAUUUAUCUUGAGUAUGGUAGGGGUAAAGGGAAUUUCCAGUGGAGCGGUGAAAUGCGUAGAUAUUGGAAAGAACACCAACAGCGAAAGCACUUUACUGGGCCAGUACUGACACUCAGAGACGAGAGCUAGGGGAGCAAACAGGAUUAGAUACCCUGGUAGUCCUAGCUGUAAACGAUGGAUACUAGAUGUUGUGUACUUUCGGGUAGCAGUGUCGUAGCUAACGCGUUAAGUAUUCCCGCCUGGGAAGUAUGCUCCGCAGAGUGAACCUCAAAGGAAU
rnacentral:rRNA from 1 species